CCUACGGGAGGCAGCAGUAGGGAAUAUUGCUCAAUGGGGGAAACCCUGAAGCAGCAACGCCGCGUGGAGGAUGAAGGUUUUAGGAUUGUAAACCACUGUCCCCAGGGACGAAAAUGACGGUACCUGGGGAGGAAGCUCCGGCUAACUACGUGCCAGCAGCCGCGGUAAUACGUAGGGAGCAAGCGUUGUCCGGAAUUACUGGGUGUAAAGGGAGCGUAGGCGGGGAUGCAAGUUGGGUGUCAAAACUACCGGCUCAACCGAUAGUCGCACUCAAAACUGCAGCUCUUGAGUGAAGUAGAGGCAGGCGGAAUUCCUAGUGUAGCGGUGAAAUGCGUAGAUAUUAGGAGGAACACCAGUGGCGAAGGCGGCCUGCUGGGCUUUUACUGACGCUGAGGCUCGAAAGUGUGGGGAGCAAACAGGAUUAGAUACCCGGGUAGUC
rnacentral:rRNA from 1 species